UACGAGAGGCCCAAACGUUAUUCGGAAUCACUGGGCGUAAAGAGUUCGUAGGCGGCUCCGUAAGUCGGGUGUGAAAUCCCAUGGCUCAACCAUGGAAGUGCAUUCGAAACUGCGGAGCUUGAAUAUGGAAGAGGGUAGUAGAAUUCCUGGUGUAGUGGUGAAAUACGUAGAUAUCAGGAGGAAUACCGGUGGCGAAGGCGGCUACCUGGUCCAAUAUUGACGCUGAGGAACGAAAGUGCGGGGAUCAAACAGG
rnacentral:rRNA from 1 species